GCCUCUUCUAAUGGAGAGAGCCCAUUAAUUUACAGGGGAAAGGCAAGGCAGGCACAAAGGCACAGGUUCUGGCAUUGCUUUGCUUUCUUGCUCUGAAUAUGAAACUGACUUUGGGAGCCUUCUGAAAUUUACAAAACUAAAACAAAAAAGCAUAGGGUACAAGGUCAUCCUGACAUGAACAACCUACCUUACAAGAGAAGAAUUUAAAGAGGCUAUUUGCAUAUUUUUCUGACUUCCCCCUGAGCUAGAGGAUCUCAGCUUCCAGUCAUUCGGAAGAGCAAUACAGUUGGAAUUGGUUAUCUACAGAGCUGCACAAAGAAGUUUUUCAGAUAUAAAGUAAGGCAAGCAAAACUUGGUAGAGCUCUGGGCAAAACCGAAGGUGCACUAUUUCUGUUGACAAUUGUGACUGUCUACAAUGGAUUAGUUAUUUGAAGACCAAACAUGCACCUUGUGGUAAUAUUUAAUUAUCAUUGUGCCAAUGCAAUCAUAAAAUUAGGAGAAAGCA